GGUCAUGCUGCGGCAGCCUCACU
rnacentral:miRNA from 3 species